CGGUGAAUACGUUCCCGGACCUUGUACACACCGCCCGUCAAGCCAUGGAAGCUGGGUGCACCUAAAGUCGAUAACCGUAAGGAGUCGCCUAGGGUAAAACUAGUAACUGGGGCU
rnacentral:rRNA from 1 species